UACGUAGGGUGCGAGCGUUAAUCGGAAUUACUGGGCGUAAAGCGUGCGCAGGCGGUUUUGUAAGCCAGAUGUGAAAUCCCCGGGCUCAACCUGGGAAUGGCAUUUGGGACUGCAAGGCUGGAGUGCGGCAGAGGAGACUGGAAUUCCUGGUGUAGCAGUGAAAUGCGUAGAUAAUCAGGAGGAAUACCGAUGCGAAGGCAGGUCUCUGGGCUGACACUG
rnacentral:rRNA from 1 species